UAUUGCUCUGCACGGAGCCGUGUUAGGCGCUGGUGCCGCCGAUACCUUGACCGUCGACCGGCCGUUGUCCAGCAGCCAGAGGCCACUAGUCUCCAAGCGUGGCAAGUUUGCGAUGGGAUUUUUCCAGCCAGAUAACUCACAGAGAUGGUACAUCGGCAUAUGGUACAACAAAAUACCGGGGCAAGUACCAGUGUGGGUUGCAAAUAGGGACUCUCCAGUCUCCAGUCCAGAGACUUCAAGCCUAACCAUAUCAACCGAUGGUAAUAUGGCACUACAGGAAUCCGGCAAUAUGCCGACGGCCUACGGCCCUCGGCGUAGGACAGACUUGCCCUCAGCGUACGAUACGCCGACGGGGUCCCUCGGCGUAGCUCCUCGGGGAAGGUGGGCCUCGGCGGAGGCCACGUGGCCCUCGGCGUAGCGCCGCCCGUCGGCGUAGACGGAGAGGGCCGACGGCAGGCCCCACCCGUCGGCGUACUGGCCGUCGGCGCAGCUCGCUAACAGGCACCGUCAAGGUGACGGCCGUUACGGCUACGCCGAGGGGCGCACCGUCGGCAUACGUCCACACGUGGCAGGACCUGGGCGACCCUGCUGCUCCAUACGCCGAGGGCCUCCCCGUCGGGGUACCUCCACACGUGGCAGGACCUGGGCGACCCUGCUGCUCCAUACGCCGAGGGCCUCCCCGUCGGGGUACCUCCACACGUGGCGCGGCCUGGGCGUCCCUGGGCGACGGACGCUACGCCGAGGGCCUCACCGUCGGGGUAGAGGCGACCAUUUGGUCCAUUUCUGGACGCGUGGCGCGCCCUGGUGGAACCUGGGAGCUACCCCGAGGGUAGACCCGUCGGCGUAGAGGGUGCCAUUUGGUUCAUUUUUUUCGUUUUUUGCUGUUUCGCGCGUUUUCCAGAUUUGACAGGAUACACAAGCACAUAUAAUUCACAUGAAAUUCAUAGGCAUGAAGUGCAAAUACAUAUAACAUCAAGUGCAUACAUAGUGUCAUAGUGCCAUAGGUUGCAUACAUAGUGUCAUAGUGACAUGGGAUGCAUACAUAGUGCCAUAGUGUGCAUACAUGCAUGGUGCCAUAGUGUGCAUAAGAUACAUGGGACUACUAGAGGAGCUCGUCGCCGCUAAACACCGGCCCGGGCCGAUUCCUUCCGGUAGAAGCUGCGGAAGAACCACCGGGAGAAGGACCGGGAGAAGUACCGGGAGAAGUACCGGGUGUAGCACCGGGAGAAGGACCACCAUGAUGAACCGGUGUCAUGUCCCUCCCACCACCCUGGUUUCCGGAACAUCCCGUUCCCUACACACAUGUUCCCGAGAUGUUAGCAAUUUGCGAGGCAAAGGAAAGCCGUAGUAUUCGGUUUGGCGAAGAACUUACCGUUGUUCUCCCAUAGUACUCCGCAGCGAAAUUUUCCUUCGAUGGCAUGUUUGGCGCCGGCCCCGGAAAGGGAGGCAUCGGCCCUAAA